rnacentral:rRNA from 1 species
CCGUGACGGAGUGACGCCGCGUGUGGGACGAAGGCCUUCGGGUCGUAAACCACUGUCAGUGGGAAAGAUGGGUGUCGGCGCGAUAACCGCCGGCAUCUGACGGUACCUGCAGAGGAAGCCCCGGCCAACUCUGUGCCAGCAGCCGCGGUAAGACAGAGGGGGCAAGCGUUGCUCGGAAUUACUGGGCGUAAAGGGCGCGUAGGCGGAAUGGCAAGUCGGUCGUGAAAUCCUUCGGCUCAACCGAAGAACGUCGAUCGAAACUGCCGUUCUUGAGGAUUGCAGAGGAGACUGGAAUUCCCGGUGUAGCGGUGAAAUGUGUAGAGAUCGGGAGGAACACCGGUGGCGAAGGCGGGUCUCUGGGCAAUUCCUGACGCUGAGGCGCGAAAGCGUGGGGAGCAAACGGGAUUAGAUACCCCGGUAGUCCACGCUGUAAACGAUGACGACUAGGUGUGGGGGGGUUCAGUCCCUUCCGUGCCGCAGCUAACGCAUUAAGUCGUCCGCCUGGGGAGUACGGCCGCAAGGUUG